AGUUUUAUGGUUUUAAAUCAGUAAUAUGCUUAGUCUUGCAAAUCCGUGUACAGGAGUUCGAUUCUCCUACUCGCCUCCA
rnacentral:tRNA from 1 species